GGCUCGGCACACAGAUGAUGAAAUGACAGGCUACGUGGCCACUAGGUGGUACAGGGCUCCUGAGAUCAUGCUGAACUGGAUGCAUUACAACCAGACAGUUGAUAUUUGGUCAGUGGGAUGCAUAAUGGCCGAGCUGUUGACUGGAAGAACAUUGUUUCCUGGUACAGACCGUAUCCUUUAAAAAGUUUUGGAUUCUUGUUUCUUAUCUGUAUUCCAGUGUCCAUGGGUGUAUACUCCUUUUACUUAUCUCCAGGGAAGACUCUCAGUAUUUUGCUUUUAUAGUCUAGAUAAUGCAUUACGAGGUCUUUCUUCAAACUGAGUAGCUUGCCUUGCCAAGAAAGAGGCUUCAGUUUACUUUUGUGAGUUGGAAAAAUUCCUCAUAAGUUGAAAAACCCAUCAAGUCUGUCUUCUUUUUGCAACAGUCCCUUAUUAAUCAUCCCACAGCAGUUC
rnacentral:sRNA from 1 species